CUGCCAGCGCAGCCGCCCCUGGGCACAGCCACCCUCCGUCUCCUCAGGGUGCCCAGGCCCCAGGUGGCCCCACCCCCCCAGUCCUGGAGGGACCCUCAGGGCUGCCCAGUACAAUCCUGGGGAGUGGGCUUCUGCAUCUGAGGAAGCCUGGUUUCUGCCAGCAGGCAGCGCCAGAGCCUCAGGCCCUGUGGCCCAGGCAAGGGCUCUCCAAGACAGGCGCUUGGAGCACUCACCCACCACCGCAUAGCCUCCAGGCACAAUCCGGCCAUGACCCUCACACAACCCAAAGUGGCCCAGAAUCAACUCACUUCUUCAUGAGGAAACGGUUGAUGGUCUUCUGCUUCCGCAUCACCUGGACUAUCUUCCGGUUCAGGUAGACAAAGAGUGCUCCCCCGAAGCCACUUGCAAUACUGGAGAGGGAAGAAGCACCCAGGGAAAAGGGGGUCUUCCCUCUCUUCCCUCCUCCUCUCUGACCCGCCUCAGCUCCCUCAGCUCCUCACCCAAUGACAGCGAAGGCUGGCAGCUCCUGGAGGUCGAAGGGGAAGUCAAGCCGGAACCGGGUUUUGAAGAGAGCCGUAAUGGUCUCUGAAGGGAAGCAGAGAGCAGAGAGAGGUGGGUGUAGCCUUGAGGUCCCCAUCAGAGUCAUUCAGGGCCCCCCUCAUGCCCCAGGUUCCCCCACCUUCAUCACGGUUCCAGACUGCCAAGACCCGGAAGAUGAAGGCACUGAAGGUGGCAGCAAAGAAGCCCCGCCAGUAGUUCCGCACCGCAAAGAAGCCUGAGGAGCCAGGAUCUGUGUGAAUCCAGCGGAGAAAGUGAUGAGGACGACUGGGUAGGUGACCCAGGCCAGAUACUGGAGUAAGAGACAGGCAGCGAUGGCAUAGUCCAUGGCCCAGCUGACCAGUGCCAUGAGGAGCCCCAGCAGGACCAGGAAGAUCCAGUCUUCACCAACCCUGGACACUAGGAACUUAUGGCAGUGCACGGUACAGACUAGGAGCAGGGAAGGGAAGAAGGGGAGCUUGGCACCAAAGUGCUCCUACUCCUGUCCCCCCUCCUCCCCCUCACGGGCAGCUGUAAUGGUCUUUGACCCCCUCAGCACAGCACAGCCAAGUCCCCUGCCCCAACCCAGGUCUCACUGCGGCAUCUGGCACAUCUGCUCUGUCCGUAUUCUAGGAGCUCUGCGGGAGCCCGAGGGGAAGGCGGACCCCUCCAGGGCUCGGGCCCUCCCAGACGGAUCCGAGCAGCUUCCUCUUUGGCAAAGGCCCCAAGGUCCUGCGUAUACCGGCCAUACAUCUGAGCAAUAAGGGAGAUGGGGGUUAGCAGACAUGGACAGAAUGGGAUGCAGGGAGGGCUCCUGGAGCCUCAACCCCCCUUCUCCCAGCCCCCACAUUAUAUACCCCUGCUGGAACCCACACGUCCCACUCUGGCUUGAGGUGUGGGAACAGUGCACACUGCAGAUGGCGGGGGCUGUCCUGGCCUGAGUGGUGGGGACAGCCAAGGCACAGGGACACCGUUCUGGGGGUGGCAGAAUAAUCAGUCCUCUUCUCACAAGCCUGGGGAGGCGGGCAGCACAGAGGAGUGGGAGGAAAGGCCCCAGAGGAGGAAAAGACGGAAAAACCUAAGGCAGUCUGCACGUGGGAGGAAGGAAGGUCAGAGAAUAAGGGAUGGUCAAGGGCACAUGGGUAACAAUAAGGGCCUCAUGGAACUGGGGGCAGCUGUGUUGGGCCUAGGAGCAGGCGGGGCCCCAAUCCUUAUCACGUUCCUGCUGGGCCUCUGGCCUGUGACCGACUCAGCUGCACCCCUCCCACCCACCCUAAUCCCCUUGUCCCUAGUCUCCACCCCCACCCCCCACAAGCCUGCCAGCCCAGCUGGGAGUGGAAAGUCUCUCUGGGUGGGUAUAGAGUGCUUGGUGGCCACUCGGGAGUUGCCCUGAGACCACUGGUGGGUUGGGGGACAGCAGAAGCUGAUGGCUGGGCUGUGACUGUGGACGCUGGGGUGAUGGGACGGGAGAGUGGCCGAGCAGUGGCUAGACCUGCCAAGCUGGGCGUGUGUUGGGGGGUGGGGAGGAGUAGAUUCCGGCUGCCACCCGCAGAGCUUCGGGACACAAAGGGCUCCUGUUGGGGCUGGGGGGAGUGUGGAGGGAGGGAAAGAUAGAGACACAGAGAGAGAGAGAGAGAGAG